UGGGGAAUCUUGGACAAUGGGCGCAAGCCUGAUCCAGCCAUGCCGCGUGGAUGAUGAAGGCCUUAGGGUUGUAAAAUCCUUUCGUUGGGGACGAUAAUGACGGUACCCAAAGAAGAAGCUCCGGCUAACUUCGUGCCAGCAGCCGCGGUAAUACGGGGGGUGCAAGCGUUAAUCGGAAUUAUUGGGCGUAAAGGGUGCGUAGGUUGUUUGAUAAGAUAUAUGUGAAAUACCUGGGCUCAACCUGGGAAGGUCAUAUAAGACUGUCAGACUCGAGUAUGGGAGAGGGUAGAGGAAUUUCCGGUGUAGCGGUGAAAUGCGUAGAUAUCGGAAGGAACAUCGGUGGCGAAGGCGUCUACCUGGCCUAAUACUGACACUGAGGCACGAAAGCGUGGGGAGCAAACAGGAUUAGAUACCCAGGUAGUCCCUGAGCGGGCUGGCAAGGCGCAU
rnacentral:rRNA from 1 species